rnacentral:tRNA from 1 species
GGCAAGAUGGCCGAGUGGUUAAGGCGUGUGACUUAAGUAAGCCAUUGCAUACUAUGUUUUCCCAUGACAGAGAUGUCUCGUGGGUUCGAACCCCACUCUUGCCA